rnacentral:lncRNA from 1 species
GAGUAGAACUGUAUUUGAGACAUGGAAACUCCUAUCUUAUAUACAAAAAGCAUUGUUUUUACCUGGCUGAGCUCCAGUUCUGCUUCCUGGGUGAUUGGGACCAUCCUCCACAUCCUGUAUGGACUGGGGCUCUUCCUCCUGUUCCUUCCCUCCCUCCAGAGGAAUUUGCCCUUACAACCACCUUACACAGGGAGAAAUGUCAGGAAGCAUCAAGUGGAGCCAAGAGGGAGGAGCAGCAGGAGCAGGAAGAAAAGGGGACCUUUGAAAGCUUACAGAGCUGGCCAGAAGGACCUGGCAGAAGUGCGGG